GCAGAAGCAGCAAGAUGCUGUGGCAGACUCACCUCCUCUGGCUCCUCGUGCUCUGGGCACAGGGCACGACCGAGGACAUUGUUGUGACUCAGACUCCAGAGGCCCUGGCAGUGUCCCCAGGAGACACCGUCACCAUCCAGUGCAAAAUCAGCUCCAGUGUCAGCAGCAGCAGAGUGAACUUGUACCAGCAGAAACCAGGGCAGGAUCCUAAAAUUCUUCUCUACGGCACAAACAACCGCCCCUCCGGGGUCCCCGACCGGUUCAGUGGCAGUGGCUCUGGCACCGACUACACUUUUACAAUCAGCCGGGUGGAAGCUGGAGAUGUUGGAGAUUAUUUCUGCGAGCAGGCUAACAGCUGGCCUGUCACAGUGCUACAGCCCCUCACGGAGCUCAGCUGUGAUCUAGCACACGCUGCACAGCACUCGGGUGUUGACACAGGAUCCUGA